GGUCCCGUGGUGUAGGGGUUAACAUGCCUGCCUGUCACGCAGGAGAUCGCGAGUUCAAAUCUCGUCGGGACCGCCA
rnacentral:tRNA from 1 species